rnacentral:rRNA from 1 species
UAAGGGCGCACGGUGGAUGCCUUGGCACUAGAAGCCGAUGAAGGACGUUACUAACGACGAUAUGCUUUGGGGAGCUGUAAGUAAGCUUUGAUCCAGAGAUUUCCGAAUGGGGAAACCCAGCAUGAGUUAUGUCAUGUUAUCGAUAUGUGAAUACAUAGCAUAUCAGAAGGCACACCCGGAGAACUGAAACAUCUUAGUACCCGGAGGAAGAGAAAGAAAAUUCGAUUCCCUUAGUAGCGGCGAGCGAAACGGGAAGAGCCCAAACCAACAAGCUUGCUUGUUGGGGUUGUAGGACACUCUAUACGGAGUUACAAAGGACGACAUUAGACGAAUCAUCUGGAAAGAUGAAUCAAAGAAGGUAAUAAUCCUGUAGUCGAAAAUGUUGUCUCUCUUGAGUGGAUCCUGAGUACGACGGAGCACGUGAAAUUCCGUCGGAAUCUGGGAGGACCAUCUCCUAAGGCUAAAUACUCUCUAGUGACCGAUAGUGAACCAGUACCGUGAGGGAAAGGUGAAAAGCACCCCGGAAGGGGAGUGAAAUAGAACCUGAAACCGUGUGCUUACAAGUAGUCAGAGCCCGUUAAUGGGUGAUGGCGUGCCUUUUGUAGAAUGAACCGGCGAGUUACGAUUUGAUGCAAGGUUAAGCAGUAAAUGUGGAGCCGUAGCGAAAGCGAGUCUGAAUAGGGCGUUUAGUAUUUGGUCGUAGACCCGAAACCAGGUGAUCUACCCUUGGUCAGGUUGAAGUUCAGGUAACACUGAAUGGAGGACCGAACCGACUUACGUUGAAAAGUGAGCGGAUGAACUGAGGGUAGCGGAGAAAUUCCAAUCGAACCUGGAGAUAGCUGGUUCUCUCCGAAAUAGCUUUAGGGCUAGCCUCAAGUGAUGAUUAUUGGAGGUAGAGCACUGUUUGGACGAGGGGCCCCUCUCGGGUUACCGAAUUCAGACAAACUCCGAAUGCCAAUUAAUUUAACUUGGGAGUCAGAACAUGGGUGAUAAGGUCCGUGUUCGAAAGGGAAACAGCCCAGACCACCAGCUAAGGUCCCAAAAUAUAUGUUAAGUGGAAAAGGAUGUGGCGUUGCCCAGACAACUAGGAUGUUGGCUUAGAAGCAGCCAUCAUUUAAAGAGUGCGUAAUAGCUCACUAGUCGAGUGACACUGCGCCGAAAAUGUACCGGGGCUAAACAUAUUACCGAAGCUGU